rnacentral:rRNA from 1 species
AUUGAACGCUGGCGGAAUGCUUUACACAUGCAAGUCGAACGGUAGGGGGGCGAACCCCUGAGAGUGGCGAACGGGUGAGUGAUACAUCGGAACGUGCCCAGUCGUGGGGGAUAACGUAGCGAAAGCUACGCUAAUACCGCAUACGAUCUACGGAUGAAAGCGGGGGACUCGCAAGAGCCUCGCGCGAUUGGAGCGGCCGAUGGCAGAUUAGGUUGUUGGUGAGGUAAAGGCUCACCAAGCCGACGAUCUGUAGCUGGUCUGAGAGGACGACCAGCCACACUGGGACUGAGACACGGCCCAGACUCCUACGGGAGGCAGCAGUGGGGAAUUUUGGACAAUGGACGCAAGUCUGAUCCAGCCAUUCCGCGUGCAGGACGAAGG